GAAUCUUGGGCAAUGGGCGAAANCCUGACCCAGCGACGCCGCGUGGGGGAAGAAGGCCUUCGGGUCGUAAACCCCUGUUCUGGGGGAAGAACCCUGAGCGGGUUAAGAGCCCGUUCAGGCUGACGGUACCCCAGGAGAAAGCCACGGCUAACUGCGUGCCAGCAGCCGCNGUAAUACGCAGGUGGCGANCGUUGCCCGNAAUCACUGGGCGUAAAGGGUGCGUAGGCGGCAGGGCAAGUCGCAGGUUAAAGCCCGGGGCUCAACCCCGGAAAGGCCUGCGAUACUGCCCUGCUUGAGGGCCGGAGAGGCUGGCGGAAUUCCCGGUGUAGGGGUGAAAUCCGUAGAUAUCGGGAGGAACACCGGUGGGGAAGCCGGCCAGCUGGACGGUCCCUGACGNUGAGGCACGAAAGCGUGGGGAGCAAACCGGAUUAGAUACCCGGGUAGUCCACGCCGUAAACCGAUGGGUGCUAGGUCUGGGGAGGAAACUCU
rnacentral:rRNA from 1 species